rnacentral:tRNA from 1 species
AGUAAGAUGACAGAAAGGUUAUUGUGUUAGUUUGCAAAACUAAAAAUAUCGGUUCAAUUCCGAUUCUUACUU